CCUACGGGUGGCUGCAGUGAGGAAUAUUGGUCAAUGGACGCAAGUCUGAACCAGCCAUGCCGCGUGAAGGAAGACGGCUCUAUGAGUUGUAAACUGCUUUUGUACGAGGGUAAAUCCCGAUACGUGUAUCGGGUUGCAAGUAUCGUACGAAUAAGGAUCGGCUAACUCCGUGCCAGCCGCCGCGGUAAUACGGAGGGUUCAAGCGUUAUCCGGAUUUAUUGGGGUUAAAGGGUGCGUAGGCGGUCCGAUAAGUUAGAGGUGAAAUCCCGGGGCGCAACUCCGGCACUGCCUCUGAUACUGUCUGGCUAGAGUUGAGUUGCGGUAGGCGGAAUGCAGGGUGUAGCGGUGAAAUGCAUAGAGAUCAUACAGAACACCGAUUGCGAAGGCAGCGUACCAAACUACGACUGACGUUGAGGCACGAAAGCGUGGGGAGCAAACAGGAUUAGAUACCCGUGUAGUC
rnacentral:rRNA from 1 species